rnacentral:rRNA from 1 species
UCCCAAACCCAUGUGAACUUACCAUUGUUGCCUCGGCAGAACCUACCCGGUACCUACCCUGUAACGACCUACCCUGUAGCGAGUUACCCGGGAACGGCCUACCCUGUAGUGCGCUGCCGGUGGACCUCUUAACUCUUGUUAUUUUAUAGUAAUCUGAGCGUCUUAUUUUAAUAAGUCAAAACUUUCAACAACGGAUCUCUUGGUUCUGGCAUCGAUGAAGAACGCAGCGAAAUGCGAUACGUAAUGUGAAUUGCAGAAUUCAGUGAAUCAUCGAAUCUUUGAACGCACAUUGCGCCCAUUAGUAUUCUAGUGGGCAUGCCUGUUCGAGCGUCAUUUCAACCCUUAAGCCUAGCUUAGUGUUGGGAGCCUACUGUAUUGUAGCUCCCCAAAUCCAACGGCGGAUCUGUGGUAUCCUCUGAGCGUAGUAAUUUUUAUCUCGCUUUUGUUAGGUGCUGCAGCUCUCAGCCGCUAAACCCCCCAAUUUUUUAAUGGUUGACCUCGGAUCAGGUAGGAAUACCCGCUGAACUUAAGCAUAUCAAUAA